rnacentral:misc_RNA from 1 species
GAUGAAGAACGCAGCGAAAUGCGAUAAGUAAUGUGAAUUGCAGAAUUCAGUGAAUCAUCGAAUCUUUGAACGCACAUUGCGCCCGCCAGUAUUCUGGCGGGCAUGCCUGUUCGAGCGUCAUUACAACCCUCAGGCCCCCGGGCCUGGCGUUGGGGAUCGGCGGAGCCCCCCGUGGGCACACGCCGUCCCCCAAAUACAGUGGCGGUCCCGCCGCAGCUUCCAUCGCGUAGUAGCUAACACCUCGCGACUGGAGAGCGGCGCGGCCACGCCGUAAAACACCCAACUCUUCUGAAGUUGACCUCGAAUCAGGUAGGAAUACCCGCUGAACUUAAGCAUAUCAAUAAGGGAGGA